AUGAAAGCUGUGACAGAGAUGAGAAGAAAAGCCAGUUCUUGGAUCCCAACUCCCCCUCCUUGCUAUCAGGAGAGCUGCCUUCUAGCAACUUCUGCUUUCGGCAUGAAUGAAGGAGCUUCUCCUGGGUAUCUGAGAGCAGACGGAUGGGACAGCGUGCUCCUGCUUGUUCUGCCACUCCCCAAGGUUUUAGUUCCCCGAGGUGUUCACUGCAGGCAUCAGCCCGUUCCUGUCCGUUUUCCCCCGUUCCCUUCCAUCACAAGCAGCUCUCAGCGAAGCAGCGUGAGCCAAGAUCCGCGGAUCAGCAACGAGAAGCAGGAGCGGAGAUGA
rnacentral:lncRNA from 1 species